rnacentral:rRNA from 1 species
UGCCUUUUAAAUGAGGGCCUGUAUGAAUGGCACAACGAGGGCUUAACUGUCUCCUCCUCCUAGUCAAUGAAAUUGAUCUCUCCGUGCAGAAGCGGAGAUAAGAACAUAAGACGAGAAGACCCUGUGGAGCUUUAGAUCACAAGCAGACCAUGUCAAGGACAAUAAUAAAUGACUCAAACAAAUUGGCUACUGUUUUCGUGUCUUUGGUUGGGGCGACCGCGGGAUAAUAUUAAACUCCCACGAGGAUAGAGAAAACCUAUUCUUAUAACCAAGAGCUUCCUCUCUAAGUAACAGAACAUCUGACCUUUAUGAUCCGGCCUAGCCGAUCUACGGACCGAGUUACCCCAGGGAUAACAGCGCAAUCCUCUUUUAGAGCCCAUAUCGACAAGAGGGUUUACGACCUCGAUGUUGGAUCAGGACAUCCUAAUGGUGUAGCCGCUAUUAAGGGUUUGUUUGUUCAACAAUUAAAGU